CCUACGGGUGGCAGCAGUGGGGAAUAUUGCACAAUGGGGGGAACCCUGAUGCAGCGACGCCGCGUGGGUGAAGGAGUAUUUCGGUAUGUAAAGCCCUAUCAGCAGGGAAGAACAAUGACGGUACCUGACUAAGAAGCACCGGCUAAAUACGUGCCAGCAGCCGCGGUAAUACGUAUGGUGCAAGCGUUAUCCGGAUUUACUGGGUGUAAAGGGAGCGCAGGCGGCGCGUUAAGCCUGGUGUGAAAGCCCGCGGCCCAACCGCGGGACUGCAUUGGGAACUGGCGCGCUGGAGUGCCGGAGGGGUAGGCGGAAUUCCUAGUGUAGCGGUGAAAUGCGUAGAUAUUAGAAGGAACACCAAUAGCGUAGGCAGGUUGCUGGGACGGUUCUGACACUAAGGCACGAAAGCGUAGGGAGCAAACGGGAUUAGAUACCCUAGUAGUC
rnacentral:rRNA from 1 species